GGCGAACGGGUGAGUAAUGCUUCGGAAUCUGCCCAUGGUGGGGAAUAACCAGCCGAAAGGUUGGUAAUACCGCAUAAGUCCUACGGGGGAAGCAGGGGAUCGCAGACUUGGCGAUGAUGAGCCGAAUCGGAUUACUAGUUGUAGGGUACGGCCUACCAGGAAUCCGUACUGGUCUGAUGAGGACGACCAGCCACCCUGUGGACUGAGGCCCGGCCCAAACCCAAAGGGGAGGCAGUGGGGAAUAUGGGACAAUGGGGGAAACCCUGAUCCUAGGACGCCGGGUGUGUGUGAACGAAGGCCUGCGGGUUGGUAAGAGCACUUUCGAGUGGGGGAUCGAACACAUGCUCGAGGGCUAACACCUCUGGGUCUUGACCUAACCCGACAGAAAAAGCACCGGCUAAGCUCUGUGCCAGC
rnacentral:rRNA from 1 species